UGGGGAAUAUUGCGCAAUGGGCGAAAGCCUGACGCAGCGACGCCUCGUGAGGGAUGAAGGUCUUCGGAUCGUAAACCUCUGUCAAGAGGGAAGAAACCCUUGAGUUCGAACAGGACUCUUGGCUGACGGUACCUCAAAAGGAAGCACCGGCUAACUCCGUGCCAGCAGCCGCGGUAAUACGGAGGGUGCAAGCGUUAAUCGGAAUCACUGGGCGUAAAGCGCUCGUAGGCGGCAUGGUCAGUCAGACGUGAAAUCCCGUGGCUUAACCGCGGAACUGCGUUUGAUACUGCCAGGCUUGAGUGUCGGAGAGGGUGGCGGAAUUCCGGGUGUAGGAGUGAAAUCCGUAGAUAUCCGGAGGAACACCAGUGGCGAAGGCGGCCACCUGGACGACAACUGACGCUGAGGAGCGAAAGCGUGGGGAGCAAACA
rnacentral:rRNA from 1 species